rnacentral:lncRNA from 1 species
UAUAUGAUACCGUUUAUUGAAGUUUUUUCAAUAUUAUCAUCUGAUAGUUGUCCACCUUGUGAGAACGGACAUAUUGUUCAACAUAUUAAACCAUCUGGGAUCAGCAAUAUUCGUCCUGUCCACACUUCAAAUGGAGGUUAGUCGUAUCACCAGUUGCACCGCAAAACUCUCAAAGAUUGAACGUCUUCUGCUCCUUCAAUAGUCAAUAAUAUCAACGUUAUGGUGCGUGUCACAAAUUCGUUAACGCUUGUCAUAACUACUCCAGUUGGUUAUCUAAAUUGAAUAGAGGCAACAAGCUGACUGGACAUGCACAGCAGGAGGACUCGAUUCGCGCCAACAGCCACUAGUGCGCAGUUCUUCUGCGCACCCACCUAGUGCAAUCUCGUCUCUUUGAUACUGUAUCGACUGGACUCCUCGACUGCCGCUACAAGGUGCCAACCGCGUAUCCCGAACUAAGUUGAGAUAAUUUCAUCUUUUAUUUCGUUAUAUAGGCUACAAAGAGUUCAUUCAGUAACCUUCCGGUAGUCGCGUUGUUGUAAAAAGUGCAACAGUUAAUCAAUUUCUUAUUUUAAAAGCGUAUUUUCACUUUGCGGGAUCUCGGCUAUCAUCUAUGCCUUCAACUGCAUCUCUCCCAUUCACAAUUGAAGGCAAUUUAAAUUAAUAAAUGAUACAUUUAUUAAAAAAAUUGAUUUAUCAUCUUAAUUACAGACUGUUCUAAAAAGUACAACACGCGACUGUUCGUUGUAUACCAACAGGAUCAUACCAACUGGAAAAGAGAUUCUGGAACCAUUUGGAAUGAUAACUUUCAAAAAUGAGUAUCAAAUGGAACUUAUUUCAUAAAUUGCCAUUAAAAUAAUUUUGAUAACAAAUAUAUUUUUAAUAAUAAAAAUGACUGCUUAAAAAGUACAAGAUGUGAUCUUUCAUGUUAUUCUAAAGAACGCGAUUACCGGAAUGUUAAUGAUAGAAUAAACAAUAGCAAAACACUGGAAUAUGAUUUUAUUUUGUAGUGUUUAGGAAUAUAUUAGCAGUUCUUUAACAUGUAGUGGGCACUGUCUUUGCUCACUCUAAUUUUGCAUACUGUCGUAACUGAAAGUACAAUAAUUAUAGUGUUGUAACUGCACUGGCAAUAGAAGAAAACCUUGUGUGUUAUUGGCAGUGAGUCAUAGAAUGAUAUAUCCUAAGAUUGGUUUUAUUUUCUUCACAUAAAGGAUCGGUUAAUUUAUUCAGGUGUGCUCCCUCAAGCCCAAUGAUGAAUUUCAGUAAUAGAGCCCCAACAUGAUGUCACACCUUAACAUAUAGGCCUCUCAUAUAAUAAAUACUACAAACCAUAUCACUACUAUAUACCAUAUAUUAAAACCCUUCACUGCAAGAUUUUCAGAAUUUGUUUGGAAAUAAAUUUAAUUCGUGUAUUAAGACUCACUGAUACUGGGAAAAAUACUGAAAAAAUUCUAAAACUGUUUUAACAUUCAGGGUGGAGUAGAAAGGGGUAUGAUGCAUAUAUGCAUCAUCAUGCAUUGACAUACCAGAUUUCAUAUAUGUUCAGAGUACAGCAUGUAGCCUAUUCCAUGAUAUAGAAGUACUAUUGGUUUCAUAAAAAAUCGUAAUAAUUCAUGAAAAAAUCAUACUCAAUAUAUUCUUAAAAAAUAAAUUUCAAACCUAUAUGCAAAAAAAAUAUUUAUUUCUAACCUAUAUGCAAAAAAAAAAAAAAAUUUCAAACCUAUAUGCAAAAAAUAAUAAUAAUAGAAAGACCAAAAAAAUAAGAAUAGAAAAACCUAUAUGCAAAAACAAAUUAAUAGAAAAAACCAACUAUCACUAAAAAUAGUAAUCUAAGUACCCUACAUAUACAUUGAAAUUUACUGUUUUUCAUAAAUUGAAAUUUACUGUUUUUCAUAAAUUGAAAUUCACUGCUUUCCAUCAAUUUCUAUGGAAUUCUUUAAAGCAAUUCCUAUCUUUAUUGAAGCAAAGAUUUAGUCCACACUUAUCACAAGUUAUUGAUGAAUAGCUACUGCAACUUGGAAGCUUGCACCUCAAUCUUGUCCCCCAGCUUUGAGUGUGACCAACUCCAUCCAGCCUAACAUCCUUCGGUGGCGGGGCAACUGCAGGACCUCUUCUCUUCUCCUGAAAUUCUUCCUCUAGCUUGCUGGCGGUACUCGGCCUUCCUCUUUUUGCUUGCUCCUUCUCUCCAAUUCCGCAUAGUGUUAUUGACAACUCCUCCCGAAAUUGGCCCAGUGUCAUCUUGUUGCCAUGAACCCUCUUGAGCAGCAGCCAUGAGUUCACGACAGUCAGGUCAAUUAGGUGGUGGUAGAAGAUUCGAAAAUACCAUUUCUUAGACCUGACAGAUAUUUUGUGUUGACCAAUGAGGCUGUCCAGGAGAUCAACACCACCCAUGAACUUUACAUACUCCUGGACAAUUGCAGGGCGUGGUAUUUCAAUUUUUUUAUUUUUUGAUGCAACAUAUCUCUUACAUUUGCCCAGAGGCUGCUCUCCUAUAAAUGUUGAAGCCAGAAGAACAUUUUUGUUGUCAUUCCAUGACACCACAACAACAUCCACAUCAUCGACAGUUGCCACACACUCAUAACUUUUCAGAUCCUUUUCUACUGGGAAUUGUGAUCCCUGGAAAUCUAUUUAGGCGGAUUGUCCCUAUUGAAUGAAUUCUUUCUUUCUCUAAAUAAACCAACAACGGCAGGGUUGAAUACCAAUUGUCAAAAUAUAUUUUGAAAUGUUCAUUUCUUGGCACAGACCGUGCCAGUCUGACCACAACAUUGGCUGAGGCUCCAAUGUCUGGCUCACCAGGUAGAACAAUAUUCUCUUGGCCUGUAUAAAAUUCAAAAUUGUAGGCAAACCCCGAAAUCCCACUGAGCACGAAAACUUUGAAGCCCCACUUGUGUGGCUUCAUGGGGUUGUAUUGUUUCAUAAAAUGUCUCACUUUUGUAGCACAGAUUUGCUCGUCAACCGAGAGAUUCUCUUCUUUGGGAACACUUUCAAAUUUUUUCCGUAAAUGUUCAACCACUUGCCUAAUUUUAUGAAGCCUAUCGUGGUUGGGGUCAUGCACAGGUAGAGCCAUUGAAUUGUCAUUGAAAUGCAUGUAUUUUUUUAUUUCUUCAAAUCUAUUCACUCCCAUCACAUUCAUAACUAUAAUAGUUCUGCUCCAGUAACUCCUAAGGUUGUUCAUUCUUACAAUUGACAUGAAGAUCAAAAUCCCUAAAUACUUUCUCAAGAGAGUUGGCUGAAUUUCAAAAGGUCGAGCAGGGUCUUUUUGAACACUAUAUAUUAGAGUCUGUUCACAAAUUUUCAUCAAUAGUUCUUCAUUGAAAAAGUAAUUGAAAAAUUGGUAUGGAGUCUCUAGCUGCUUCACUUCUUCAGGGAGAGGUUUUUCUCCAGUAAAUUGUACAUCUGGUGAUCUAAAUUCUUUUUUUUCCAAAUGACAGCCCUUCUCUGUGUGCUCCUACCUUGUUGAUGCGAUGGGCCAGGUUGAGGGGUUGAUUCCUGAAGAUUCUCCUGAUGAGUAGAUUCACCUUCAUUCUCAGCUUCAACAGUUUUACUCCUCAACUUAGAUUGGGAAAUUAUUUGACCUUCCUGAGUGCUGUCUUCUUCAUCCGAUGACUCCAAGUCGCUCCCAUCAGGAAUAGUAAAUGAGAGCUCAUGUCCCUCACAAUCUUCAAACAAUGCAUCCAAAAUUUGUUCAUCACUCAAUUUGUCAAUGUCUUUUAUAAAAAUAAGAAACUGCUGAAUUUCAUCCAAACUGCUGAAAAAAUAUUUUUACACUAGCCUACUAACUUUAUACGUCACUCUAUUUUUCAUUCCAAUAAUUAUUGUUGAAAUCAGAACUUUUUCACGAAAAAACAACACACAACACCUCUGGAGUCGUACUGUAAACAUAACCUGCAAAGGCCGGGAGGUGAACAUACCAGAAUGCAUGAUGGUGCAAAUAUGAGUCAAACUGAUUUUUGUACAGCAAGAAAAUAUUUCGAUAUAAAUCAUAAUAGAAUGAUUUUUCCAUGGUGAUUGAAUAUUAUGAGAGCUUAUGUGUAUUUUUUCUCUAUUUUUAAUCAGAAUAAAUGAAAAAAAUAGUUCAAAGUGGCCUGUUGGUAGAACUUUCUGUGACGAUGGCAUGUCAUAUGGAAUCUUGUUUGUUAUAAUUCUGACGCCAUCUACCAGCUUUGAAGUGAACUAUAAUGGAAAAGAGAUCUCUACAGAUAUACACAAACAAGAAUAAAGCAAGAAUACGGUCACCUAAUACAUAUAUACAUGCUCUUACUGGUAUGACUCA